AAUUGAGAGAGUUGUGCUUGGGUGGUGUUAUGCUUAAAAUUUCAAACUAGAGGUCUUCGGUUCAAUUCUGGGAAGCAUCAUAAUUUUACGAAUUAAUUUUGAAAAAGUACACAUAAGCGGUGCCACGUAGGCAGGUCAAAACAUGUGGCACCAGGGGCUCAUUAUCCAAAUUUUCGAACAGAAAAGGGUUCAAUUUGCGUUUUCUAAAAGAAAGGGGCUCAAUACUCAAAAACACCUAAAGUUCAGUGGUCACAUUUGUAUUUUACCCUACUAGUAUAAAAAAAAGAACUAUUAAAAAGCAAGUUUGCUAUAAAAGAAGAAAAUAAUUUUACCGUGCAUUGCAAAUGAUAAUCCUCCUGUCCCAAAUUGAAAGACACGUUAGAAAUUUCAAAAAUGAAUAGUAAUUGUUCAAUUUUCAUUAAGUCUGAAAAAGGAACUUACAUAUCCAAACACGGUAUAAGAAGGUGGUCCCGUGGACAGGGUGACCUCAUGAUUCAUAUUCGCUAUUAAAAAAAUGUAUUAGUGUGAAGCGAAUCAAUUUCAGUGAUGAAAGCAUAUUCUCAUUACUAAUUAAAUCUAUCAUAACUAAAAU
rnacentral:lncRNA from 1 species